AUCCAAUGGUCCAGAACGUACGAA
rnacentral:siRNA from 1 species